rnacentral:rRNA from 1 species
GCAAACAGGAUUAGAUACCCUGGUAGUCCACGCCGUAAACGAUGUCAACUAGUUGUUCGUGUCAUAAACGAUGUGAGUAACGCAGCUAACGCACUAAGUUGACCGCCUGGGGAGUACGGCCGCAAGGUUAAAACUCAAAUGAAUUGACGGGGGCCCGCACAAGCGGUGGAGCAUGUGGUUUAAUUCGAUGCAACGCGAAGAACCUUACCAUCCCUUGACAUCCAGUGAAUUUUCCAGAGAUAGAUUAGUGCCUUCGGGAACACUGAGACAGGUGCUGCAUGGCUGUCGUCAGCUCGUGUUGUGAGAUGUUGGGUUAAGUCCCGCAACGAGCGCAACCCUUAUCCUCAGUUGCCAGCACGUAAUGGUGGGAACUCUGUGGAGACUGCCGGUGAUAAACCGGAGGAAGGUGGGGACGACGUCAAGUCAUCAUGGCCCUUACGGGAUGGGCUACACACGUGCUACAAUGGCGCAUACAAAGGGAAGCAAGCUAGCGAUAGCAAGCGGAUCUCAAAAAGUGCGUCGUAGUCCGGAUCGGAGUCUGCAACUCGACUCCGUGAAGUCGGAAUCGCUAGUAAUCGCGGAUCAGAAUGCCGCGGUGAAUACGUUCCCGGGCCUUGUACACACCGCCCGUCACACCAUGGGAGUGGGCUGCACCAGAAGUAGUUAGCUUAACC